rnacentral:rRNA from 1 species
UUAAGCGACUAAGCGUACACGGUGGAUGCCCUGGCAGUCAGAGGCGAUGAAGGACGUGCUAAUCUGCGAUAAGCGUCGGUAAGGUGAUAUGAACCGUUAUAACCGGCGAUUUCCGAAUGGGGAAACCCAGUGUGUUUCGACACACUAUCAUUAACUGAAUCCAUAGGUUAAUGAGGCGAACCGGGGGAACUGAAACAUCUAAGUACCCCGAGGAAAAGAAAUCAACCGAGAUUCCCCCAGUAGCGGCGAGCGAACGGGGAGGAGCCCAGAGCCUGAAUCAGUGUGUGUGUUAGUGGAAGCGUCUGGAAAGGCGCGCGAUACAGGGUGACAGCCCCGUACACAAAAAUGCACAUACUGUGAGCUCGAUGAGUAGGGCGGGACACGUGGUAUCCUGUCUGAAUAUGGGGGGACCAUCCUCCAAGGCUAAAUACUCCUGACUGACCGAUAGUGAACCAGUACCGUGAGGGAAAGGCGAAAAGAACCCCGGCGAGGGGAGUGAAAAAGAACCUGAAACCGUGUACGUACAAGCAGUGGGAGCCUCUUUAUGGGGUGACUGCGUACCUUUUGUAUAAUGGGUCAGCGACUUAUAUUCUGUAGCAAGGUUAACCGAAUAGGGGAGCCGAAGGGAAACCGAGUCUUAACUGGGCGUUAAGUUGCAGGGUAUAGACCCGAAACCCGGUGAUCUAGCCAUGGGCAGGUUGAAGGUUGGGUAACACUAACUGGAGGACCGAACCGACUAAUGUUGAAAAAUUAGCGGAUGACUUGUGGCUGGGGGUGAAAGGCCAAUCAAACCGGGAGAUAGCUGGUUCUCCCCGAAAGCUAUUUAGGUAGCGCCUCGUGAAUUCAUCUCCGGGGGUAGAGCACUGUUUCGGCAAGGGGGUCAUCCCGACUUACCAACCCGAUGCAAACUGCGAAUACCGGAGAAUGUUAUCACGGGAGACACACGGCGGGUGCUAACGUCCGUCGUGAAGAGGGAAACAACCCAGACCGCCAGCUAAGGUCCCAAAGUCAUGGUUAAGUGGGAAACGAUGUGGGAAGGCCCAGACAGCCAGGAUGUUGGCUUAGAAGCAGCCAUCAUUUAAAGAAAGCGUAAUAGCUCACUGGUCGAGUCGGCCUGCGCGGAAGAUGUAACGGGGCUAAACCAUGCACCGAAGCUGCGGCAGCGACACUAUGUGUUGUUGGGUAGGGGAGCGUUCUGUAAGCCUGUGAAGGUGGCCUGUGAGGGUUGCUGGAGGUAUCAGAAGUGCGAAUGCUGACAUAAGUAACGAUAAAGCGGGUGAAAAGCCCGCUCGCCGGAAGACCAAGGGUUCCUGUCCAACGUUAAUCGGGGCAGGGUGAGUCGACCCCUAAGGCGAGGCCGAAAGGCGUAGUCGAUGGGAAACAGGUUAAUAUUCCUGUACUUGGUGUUACUGCGAAGGGGGGACGGAGAAGGCUAUGUUGGCCGGGCGACGGUUGUCCCGGUUUAAGCGUGUAGGCUGGUUUUCCAGGCAAAUCCGGAAAAUCAAGGCUGAGGCGUGAUGACGAGGCACUACGGUGCUGAAGCAACAAAUGCCCUGCUUCCAGGAAAAGCCUCUAAGCAUCAGGUAACAUCAAAUCGUACCCCAAACCGACACAGGUGGUCAGGUAGAGAAUACCAAGGCGCUUGAGAGAACUCGGGUGAAGGAACUAGGCAAAAUGGUGCCGUAACUUCGGGAGAAGGCACGCUGAUAUGUAGGUGAAGUCCCUCGCGGAUGGAGCUGAAAUCAGUCGAAGAUACCAGCUGGCUGCAACUGUUUAUUAAAAACACAGCACUGUGCAAACACGAAAGUGGACGUAUACGGUGUGACGCCUGCCCGGUGCCGGAAGGUUAAUUGAUGGGGUUAGCGGUAACGCGAAGCUCUUGAUCGAAGCCCCGGUAAACGGCGGCCGUAACUAUAACGGUCCUAAGGUAGCGAAAUUCCUUGUCGGGUAAGUUCCGACCUGCACGAAUGGCGUAAUGAUGGCCAGGCUGUCUCCACCCGAGACUCAGUGAAAUUGAACUCGCUGUGAAGAUGCAGUGUACCCGCGGCAAGACGGAAAGACCCCGUGAACCUUUACUAUAGCUUGACACUGAACAUUGAGCCUUGAUGUGUAGGAUAGGUGGGAGGCUUUGAAGUGUGGACGCCAGUCUGCAUGGAGCCGACCUUGAAAUACCACCCUUUAAUGUUUGAUGUUCUAACGUUGGCCCCUGAUCGGGGUUGCGGACAGUGUCUGGUGGGUAGUUUGACUGGGGCGGUCUCCUCCUAAAGAGUAACGGAGGAGCACGAAGGUUGGCUAAUCCUGGUCGGACAUCAGGAGGUUAGUGCAAUGGCAUAAGCCAGCUUGACUGCGAGCGUGACGGCGCGAGCAGGUGCGAAAGCAGGUCAUAGUGAUCCGGUGGUUCUGAAUGGAAGGGCCAUCGCUCAACGGAUAAAAGGUACUCCGGGGAUAACAGGCUGAUACCGCCCAAGAGUUCAUAUCGACGGCGGUGUUUGGCACCUCGAUGUCGGCUCAUCACAUCCUGGGGCUGAAGUAGGUCCCAAGGGUAUGGCUGUUCGCCAUUUAAAGUGGUACGCGAGCUGGGUUUAGAACGUCGUGAGACAGUUCGGUCCCUAUCUGCCGUGGGCGCUGGAGAACUGAGGGGGGCUGCUCCUAGUACGAGAGGACCGGAGUGGACGCAUCACUGGUGUUCGGGUUGUCAUGCCAAUGGCACUGCCCGGUAGCUAAAUGCGGAAGAGAUAAGUGCUGAAAGCAUCUAAGCACGAAACUUGCCCCGAGAUGAGUUCUCCCUGACUCCUUGAGAGUCCUGAAGGAACGUUGAAGACGACGACGUUGAUAGGCCGGGUGUGUAAGCGCAGCGAUGCGUUGAGCUAACCGGUACUAAUGAACCGUGAGGCUUAACCUU